AUUGGAGUUUGCACUUAAAAAUUUAAUUCUGUGGUUUCAUUGCCUUUCAGGAAUUCUAUGUUAUCUUUUCCAAACUUGUAAGUGGGAGUUGUACCGCAGAGAUUUAUUUAUUUGUUGCAGUUUUUUCUAUUAGCAUUGGGCUCCUGUCUACAAAGAGCUGAUGAUCCCUGAGCUGCUGAGUUGCCAAAGCUCCUUGCCCAGGACCAGGACUUUCUGAAGAGUUGGUAUCUUUUCCAUUCCAAGAGUGUUUGAUGAACACGUUUGUUGGCACCUGUCCUUGUUUCCCUCCACUCCUCCCAUCUUCACUCCAAGGACCCUUCUCAAGAAUCUCACCUCCCUCAGCUUCCAGGGGUCCCUCUAGCAGAUGAGAGCUUCCCGUUGGUGUGGUGUGAUUUCUGAGCAGGGACAGGCUGAUACCUCUGAGCUCAGGGGCUGCUUCAUCUCCUCAGCCCUCCCUGGGGUCCUGCAGGCGCUUUCAGUCCUGCCUCAUGUCUUUGAUUUGGUGAGGUUCCCUGCUAUUUACAUUUCUUCACAUAUAUCCUCUUCAUACCAUCUGCUACCGUAUGUUUUGCUCAUCUCUGAAAUGUAGUGACCAUAUUUCAUGCAAUGUUGUUCUACAUAAUUUUCUUAAAGUUUAAUUAAAAGGUUCUGAGAGAACAAAGCAAAUUAGAAUUCACCCAUUUUGUGCAGACACUUUAAGUGAAUGGGAAGCAACUGAAUAAAGACCUUCAAAUACCUUGAGUGAAUUUGUUACCAAAAUUCUGUGCAGUCUUUAUCCAAAGGGUCUAUUAUUGAAUUAAUUAGGAGAGUUUUAUUAUUGACAAAAGUUCAGGUUGUUAUUAAAGACCAGCAUCUUCUCUGGAAACUCUUUCUUUGGAAUUCAGCAGUUCUCCUGAGUGGUAUUUACCUUGGAGUGAGUGUGUGGCUGUGCCUUGUUAGAUAAAAGCUGCAGCACUAAAACUGUUUUACUGAACUUAGCUCCUGACCUGCCUUCUGAGGCCACAGCUACAAAGGGAUGAUACAUCAAUCUAGUUUGUUUGAUCUAAUUACAGCUGUUUAACCAUCCUGAGCACAAGUGCACUCACCCCACUUUGUUAUGCUGAUUUCAGGUAUUUUCACUGUUAAUCGGGUGCACAGUGCUUGGUUCUUUCUUCUAUUAAUUUACCUCUCAAGAUACUCUGGGCAGUUAUCCCACAGAGAGGUGUUCUGCUACUCAGCUGUGUUAUUUUUCACAAUGUGUUGACAGGGAAUUCUCAGGAAUUUGGGGAUUCUGUUGGUCAACCUGACAACCUGACUACUCCUUUUCUCCUGUCAUCCAUUGGUUUUUUCCCUGUGCAGCUUCUUUUCUAAAGGCUUCAAGGUUCAUAAAGGAGAAAGUGGUAAAUCCAUUAAAACAUCCCUUUAAGUGCAGAAGUCGCCUGUGGAAGAGCAGAUUUCUGAUUAUUUCUAACUGAAAACUCUGGGGUUCAUGUCAAGAAUAUUGUCAUGGGAUCUUCUUUUAAUGUAUAUAUAUGAUCUUUUGUGCUUGGCUUAAGAAAUUACCUGGAGUUUUUGCCGUGUACAGUCUGUGGAUCAAACAAGGGCUGUGGAGCUUUGAGGAAUUAACAUGGUCCAUCUCCUCUUCUGUUUCCAGUGCCCAUGAACUUUGGAUUGCUGUCCUCUAACAAAAUGGACUAAUGGUAUUUUGUCCCCUCUCAAUUCUACCAUGAGCUCUCUCCUUUUUAUUUUCUCUUUUUCUUUUUUCCAAUUGAUUAAGCAAAUCCAGCAUCCCAGUUUGUUCUGCAGGGUUAGAUUUCCUCAGCCUCCCAGCAUUCUUGUUGCUCUCUUUGUGCUCUUUCCAAUUACUUUGCAUCUGCUUUUAUUUUCUAACGUGGAACCUGAAAGGGACACAAUAUUCCAGCUGAGAAUAUUCCAGCUAAAAUUAAAUCUGGAAGGCAUGUGAAGAGAACACCAACAGGAAAGGGAAGAGGUGGUGGAUCCAAGGAAGCUCGGAACAGUGGGAUGGAAAACGUCUCCAGUGGGCAGGCACCUAGGACAGAAGAUCCCAGCCCUGGUUUGCUGCUCUUUUGCUGAAGCAGCUCAGGCUCUCCCUCCCUCAUGGCCAGAGUGGAAAAGCACGUUUAAAUCCCGAGCUCGCCUUUCCCACGUGGUGUCUCGCUGAGCUGCUGUCAAAGCCACGCCGCGCUCUCACAGGGCACCGGAGCUUCUUCCCUGCCCUGCCGGGGAGGCACAAGGAGGCAGCCUUCAUCGAGCGAGGAGAGCAAAUCUUGGCAAGAAGAGCGCCGAAGGAUGUGAACCCCUUGGAAAAUUCCACUUCCUGCCCGGCACUGCGUGUCCUUGGGUCUCUCACUCAUUCCCAUGCACUUAACGAGGGAUUUCUGCCUCAGGCUACCACACCAACUUUCUAAAUAAAUGCCGCGCACACCCGAGCGCGGUGCUCUGCAGUUAAUCUCAGCCCAACACCAGCUCUCUCUCCUCUCUUCCUACUUCCCUCCAUUUUAUUUCUCCGCUGGUUUUUCUCUCCAGCAGGCUCCUACUCUCUCUCCUGCGGAACUUGCCGGGAACAAAAGGCUCCGUUCCCGAUCCAGCCCGCAGUUGCCGUGAGAAACUUCCUCGCCAGCGCUGUCUGUCGCUCCGCUCUCCCUCCCUCGCUCCCUCCCUGCCUCGGGAAAAUGGCAGUGCAAGAGCCUGAUGAAAAGGGGGAAAAAACCCUCCUUUCUCAGCGCCUGCCUCUCCUGCAGCACCUCCCCUCCCCAGCCGUGACGCCUGAACUCAAACUUCUCUAAAAUUACACUUUAGGAGGGUAGAUUUUCACGGGAGGGGAUGUGUUUUUUACACCCCACCGAAAAGAGGCGCCGAGGUGGGGGAAAGGCCGAGGGACAGCUUUUUCCAGACAGGAGAACCUGCUCUGACCCUUCCCGCACGGCAUCGCCAGGUCCCAAGGACUGGCAACACAAUAAGUUUUCCUUCAGUGGGAAAAUCCAGGCCCAGAGUUCAGAUCUUUCUCUUUUCGCAGCUUUAAAAGCCUUUUCUUUCCCCCUUUUUUUAACUCUUCACAGUGGGGUCCGCAGCAGAACGCGGUCACUCUGCCAACCCACCCGAGAGCUCCCAAAUCUGGUGGGAUUCAGGGAAAACAGACGGUUGGCUCCGGAUCCAGUGCAGGGGUUUUUGCAAACUCCGGUCCGC